rnacentral:tRNA from 1 species
UGGCCCCGUGGUCCACGGCGUAACGCACGGCCUUGCCCGUGGUCGUGCCGCUGACCGAGGCGGCGAUCGGGAGGAUCUUGGCCUCGGGGGCGAC